GGACUACCCGGGUAUCUAAUCCUGUUUGCUACCCACGCUUUCGCACCUCAGCGUCAGUCUCUGUCCAGGUGGUCGCCUUCGCCACCGGUGUUCCUCCUAAUAUCUACGAAUUUCACCUCUACACUAGGAAUUCCACCACCCUCUCCAGGACUCAAGCCUCCCAGUAUCGAAUGCACUUCCACGGUUAAGCCGUGGGAUUUCACACCCGACUUGAAAAGCCGCCUACGCGCGCUUUACGCCCAGUAAUUCCGAACAACGCUUGCACCCUCUGUCUUACCGCGGCUGCUGGCAC
rnacentral:rRNA from 1 species